rnacentral:rRNA from 1 species
GGAACGCGAAGAACCAUACCUACUCUUGACAUCCAGAGAACUUUCCAGAGAUGGAUUGGUGCCUUCGGGAACUCUGAGACAGGUGCUGCAUGGCUGUCGUCAGCUCGUGUUGUGAAAUGUUGGGUUAAGUCCCGCAACGAGCGCAACCCUUAUCCUUUGUUGCCAGCGGUUCGGCCGGGAACUCAAAGGAGACUGCCAGUGAUAAACUGGAGGAAGGUGGGGAUGACGUCAAGUCAUCAUGGCCCUUACGAGUAGGGCUACACACGUGCUACAAUGGCGUAUACAAAGAGAAGCGACCUCGCGAGAGCAAGCGGACCUCAUAAAGUACGUCGUAGUCCGGAUUGGAGUCUGCAACUCGACUCCAUGAAGUCGGAAUCGCUAGUAAUCGUAGAUCAGAAUGCUACGGUGAAUACGUCCCCGGGGCCUUGUACACACCGAGGUCUUGUACACACCGGGGUCUUGUACACA